rnacentral:RNase_P_RNA from 5 species
CAAGUUGGCCGGACGGUCGCGGCGCAAGUCGAGGAAAGUCCGGGCUCCACAGGACAGGGUGGUGGCUAACGGCCACCCGGGGUAACCCGCGGGCUAGUGCCACAGAAAAUAAACCGCCGUACGGCAAGGGUGAAAAGGCGAGGUAAGAGCUCACCGCGCGCCAGGUGACUGGAGCGGCAAGGUAAACCCCACCCGGAGCAAGACCGAGCAGCAGAUUGGUUGUCCGCCUUUAUCUGCGGGUAGGUUGCUAGAGCCCUUCGGCAACGUGGGGUGCAGAUGGAUGGCCGUCGCCUUUUCGGAGGUACAGAACCCGGCUUACAGGCCAGCUUUUAAU